rnacentral:lncRNA from 1 species
CCUUCACACCACUCAAUCCUCAUCUCCACCUCCAUUCCCUUUCCAUUCAAACUCAUUUAUCCAUUUCUUGCCCUUAAACUCAAAAAAUGGCUAUUAGAAAACCUAACAAACUCCCACAAGCAGCAGUUUUGAAGCAAAUCCUCAAACGAUGUUCAAGUUUAGGCAAGAAAAAUGGAUAUGACGAAAAUGAACUUCCACUUGAUGUCCCUAAAGGUCAUUUUGCUGUCUAUGUUGGAGAAUAUAGAAGCAGAUAUAUUGUUCCUAUUUCAUUUUUGACUCAUCCUGAGUUUCAGUGUCUUCUUCAACGUGCAGAAGAUGAAUUUGGAUUUGAUCAUGAUAUGGGACUCACUAUCCCUUGUGAAGAAGCCGUGUUUCGAUCCCUAACGUCGAUGAUCAGAUAAUUCAGGCAAUAUUUUUCAUAGUCGAUCUCAAGCCCCAGAUAUAUAACCCGGGUUGUGAUAGGUUGACGAUCAAUCAGCGCCAAAACUUUGUCAAAUCGUAUGACAUGAUUCGGAAUGCACAUUUGUUGUUGUUUGGAGAAAGAUGAUCCAGAUGAAGCUGAAGAAUUGUUGGCUGCUUCUCUUUUUUUAACUUCUUUCUUCAUGGAAGUUUGAUCUAUAUUUUUUUUUAUUUUUUGGAAAAUUCUCAUUAUUUUCUAACCAUUUGGGUGUUUGUAUUUUUAUAGUGACUUAAAGUCCCCAAACCCAAGAAAACCCAUGAAUAUUUUCUGGGCUAAAUUUGUAAAAAAAAAAAAAUUGAAGUCUUUUUCUCACAGUUGUUUUCCUACAUCCUGAGAGAAAUUUGUUGUUUAAGGAAAGACUCUUAAUUAUGUCCAAUUAUUGUAUUAUUGAAUGUUGAAUGAUACUCUCCUAUUCUUCCAUGUUUUAUAAAGUUGAAUCUGAUAAAUAUGAAAAAAAUAAAUAAAUAACUUUUGUUCACAUA